rnacentral:rRNA from 1 species
CGCCUGUUUAUCAAAAACAUAGCCCCUAGAAUAUAUAAGGGGUCCCGCCUGCCCAGUGGCCUAAGGCUAAACGGCCGCGGUAUCUUGACCGUGCAAAGGUAGCAUAAUCACUUGUCUUUUAAAUGGAGACUGGUAUGAACGGCUAAACCUCCUUUAACUGUCUCCCCUCUCACCCUUUUAAACUCCUAUUCGUGUGAAGAAGCGCGAAUUCAACAGAAAGACGAGAAGACCCUGUCGAGCUUUAGCUAACAGAUGAAACCUAGAAAACUAACCCCAAGACAUCAUCCAAAAGCUUUGGUUGGGGCAACCACGGAGAAAAUAAAUCCUCCAGAAAUAAUAGAAGAAAACACCGAUCUCUAUAAAAACCAGCACUAAGAACCAGAAACUGGUAUACGGAAGUAGUUACCGCAGGGAUAACAGCGUCAUCCCCUUUAAGAGUCCUUAUUGACGAGGGGGUUUGCGACCUCGAUGUUGGAUUGGGGCCUCCUUAGGGUGCAGAAGCUCUAAACGGUUAGACUGUUCGUCUAUUAAAGCCCUACA